AUCGCUUCUCGGCCUUUUGGCUAAGAUCAAGUGUAGUAUCUGUUCUUAUCAGUUUAAUAUCUGAUACGUCCCCUGCCCGGGGACCAUAUAUUAAAUUGGUUUUUGGAGCAGGGAGAUGGAAUAGGGGCUUGCUCCACGCAUCGUCCCAGUAUUGCAGUACUUCUGAGAAUGGUGCACCUCUA
rnacentral:snRNA from 1 species